GAUUAGUUUGAUCCUGGCUCAGGAUGAACGCUAGCGGCAGGCCUAACACAUGCAAGUUGAACGGUACCAGCAAUGGUAUAGUGGCGCACCGGUGAGUAACGCGUAUGCAACCUACCCUGUACUGGGGGAUAGCCCGGAGAAAUUCGGAUUAAGACCCCCAUAGCACUUAAGAAUGGCAUCAUUCAUAAGUUAAAGGUUACGGUACAGGAUGGGCAUGCGUCCCAUUAGCUAGAUGGUAAGGUAACGGCUUACCAUGGCAACGAUGGGUAGGGGGCCUGAGAGGGUGGUCCCCCACACUGGUACUGAGACACGGACCAGACUCCUACGGGAGGCAGCAGUGAGGAAUAUUGGUCAAUGGGCGCGAGCCUGAACCAGCCAUGCCGCGUGCAGGAUGACGGUCCUAUGGAUUGUAAACUGCUUUUGCACAGGAAGAAAUACUCGGACGUGUCCGAGCUUGACGGUACUGUGAGAAUAAGGAUCGGCUAACUCCGUGCCAGCAGCCGCGGUAAUACGGAGGAUCCAAGCGUUAUCCGGAAUCAUUGGGUUUAAAGGGUCCGUAGGCGGUUUGAUAAGUCAGUGGUGAAAGCCCUACGCUCAACGUAGGAACGGCCAUUGAUACUGUUAGACUUGAAUUAUUUGGAAGUAACUAGAAUAUGUAGUGUAGCGGUGAAAUGCUUAGAGAUUACAUGGAAUACCAAUUGCGAAGGCAGGUUACUACAAAUGGAUUGACGCUGAUGGACGAAAGCGUGGGUAGCGAACAGGAUUAGAUACCCUGGUAGUCC
rnacentral:rRNA from 1 species